UGAGUAUACUUUCCAUUUUUUACUAGAUAAAAUAUAAAAAGUAUUUUUUUUAGUUUGCCUAUUUAUUUAUUUAUAUAAUUCAACACUAAUCUUUAUUUUAUCUAUUUAUAUCCACAAACUAUUAUUUACUUUUCUAUUCAUUUGUUCGCCGUUCAUAGUUAUGUUCAAUUCUGGAUUUUCAUGUGAUUUUUCAGUUGGUAUGCGAGAAUGGUUUUAUGCGGCAACAACUGUACACUAUAUGUUAAUUUAUCUCUUACCCUAUUGUUGUUGUUGCUAUUGCUAUAUAUUUAUGGAUCGUCUUCUAUUUCUUGUUAUCUGACUUUACUGGAUGCAUUUACUUUCGAAAAGAAUCAAAGGGUUGAUAUUUGUUAUAUUUGUAGAAUGAUAAUAUAAAUUCCAGUUUUGGGAACCCUAACUUUACAGGUUCUUCCAGAAGUUGUGAACAACUAACAACUGGGACCAGUCUGUGGAGUUGUGCAUUUUGUUUAUUUUGUGAUCUUUUUCUUCUUGCUUCUAUGUGUUUCAGAUGCCUAUUAUAUCUAUUUUAUGUCUCAAAUUGGACGUCCAAACAUAUUUGCUCAAUGCUCUGCACAGACAGUCAAUGAAAUUGGUAGCAUGUUCAGUUUUCUACUUAUAUUUAACUGCUCUACAAUAUAAUAAAAGUCCAAUAAUUAUAUUGAACUGCACUGAAAUACAACAAAAGUAAAGUUUCCUCAUGGCAUUUUCAUGUUUUGGAUUUGGAUGAUUUUAACAUCUUAUAAAGAGGUGAUAAUUGUGACUCUAUUUUUCAUUUCUUUCUUCCAUUAUAGGUAUCCUACACUACAUGUUAUGGAUUUUCAGUCCAGCAGUUCAAUUUAUUUCUUGUUAUCUGACUUUACUGGAUGCAUUUACUUUUGAAAAGAAUCAAAGGGUUGAUAUUUGUUAUAUUUGUAGAAUGAUAAUAUAAAUUCCAGUUUUGGGAACCCUAACUUUACAGGUUCUUCCAGAAGUUGUGAACAACUAACAAUUGGGACCAGUCUGUGGAGUUGUGCAUUUUGUUUAUUUUGUGAUCUUUUUCUUCUUGCUUCUAUGUGUUUCAGAUGCCUAUUAUAUCUAUUUUAUGUCUCAAAUUGGACGUCCAAACAUAUUUGCUCAGUGCUCUGCACAGACAGUCAAUGAAAUUGGUAGCCUGUUCAGUUUUCUACUUAUAUUUAACUGCUCUACAAUAUAAUAAAAGUCCAAUAAUUAUAUUGAACUGCUCUGAAAUACAACGAAAGUAAAGUUUCCUCAUGGCAUUUUUAUGUUUUGGAUUUGGAUGAUUUUAACAUCUUAUAAAGAGGUGAUAAUUGUGACUCUGUUUUUCAUUUCUUUCUUCCAUUAUAGGUAUCCUACACUACAUGUUAUGGGUUUUCAGUCCAGCAGUUCAAUUUUAUCGGAUGUUGUUCGUACUUGUCUCAUUCAGAUAAUCAUGAAAGACUAUAUUACAUUUCCUAUUCUAUUGUCUAACAAGAAUUUUAAAGAGACAAGAAAUGCAACAGGGUUAGCUACUCCAGCUAUCGUCGCGAGUUUAGGUGCCUAACACAUACAUUGGACAUCUCGCAAGUGGAUUCGCUACAACUAUAGCUACAACUGCUAUAGGAACUAUUGUCGAUAGUUUUAGAUAAUCUCUUAAUAAUUGUCGAUAUGUUUACAAAGUUAGAUAUGCAUAGUUUUUGAUGGUUUAAACUUUUUGUACAGAUUAGAACUUAAGGAUAUAGUUUUCGAAUGUUUGGAAUGUAUAGCCAAUUGUUGAAUGUUUAUAAUUUAUGGAUAUA